rnacentral:rRNA from 1 species
CCUACCCAUGUCCAGGUUGAAGGUGCGGUAAAACGCACUGGAGGACCGAACCCGUAUCAGUUGAAAAUGGUUGGGAUGAGGUGUGGGUAGCGGUGAAAUUCCAAACGAACUUGGAGAUAGCUGGUUCUCUCCGAAAUCUCUUUAGGGGGAGCCUCGAGGUUUAGAAUCAUGGAGGUAGAGCACUGUUUGGACUAGGGGCCCGUCAUGGGUUACUGACUUCAGAUAAACUCCGAAUGCCAUUGAUUUUUACUCGGGAGUCACACGGUGAGUGAUAAGAUCCAUCGUGGAAAGGGGAACAGCCCAGAUCAUCAGCUAAGGUCCCUAAAUAUAUGCUAAGUGGAAAAGGAUGUGGAAUUGCACAGACAACUAGGAUGUUGGCUCAGAAGCAGCCAUCAUUUAAAGAGUGCGUAAUAGCUCACUAGUCGAGUGACUCUGCGCCGAAAAUGUACCGGGGCUAAGCAUAUUACCGAAGCUAUGGAUGCAUCCAUCAGGAUGCGUGGUAGGAGAGCGUUCCAAGGGCGAUGAAGUCAGACCGUAAGGACUGGUGGAGCGCUUGGAAGUGAGAAUGCCGGUAUGAGUAGCGAAAGACAGGUGAGAAUCCUGUCCACCGAAUGACUAAGGUUUCCUGGGGAAGGCUCGUCCUCCCAGGGUUAGUCGGGACCUAAGUCGAGGCCGAGAGGCGUAGACGAUGGACAACAGGUUGAUAUUCCUGUACCAGUUGAUUGUGCUUGAGUGAUGGAGUGACGCAGAAGGCUAAGCGAUCCGGACGAUUGGAAGUGUCCGGCCAAGCAGCAAGUCAGUUGAUGAGUCAAAUGCUUAUCAGCGGGUUGACAAGCUGUGAUGGGGAGCGAAAUUAUAGUAGCGAAGUCGUUGAUGUCACGCUGCCGAGAAAAGCUUCUAGCGAAUAAUCAACUGCCCGUACCGCAAACCGACACAGGUAGUCGAGGAGAGUAUCCUAAGGUGAGCGAGCGAACUCUCGUUAAGGAACUCGGCAAAAUGACCCCGUAACUUCGGGAGAAGGGGUGCUGAUCGCAAGAUCAGCCGCAGUGAAAAGGCCCAGGCGACUGUUUAUCAAAAACACAGGUUUCUGCAAAAUCGUAAGAUGAAGUAUAGGGGCUGACGCCUGCCCGGUGCUGGAAGGUUAAAAGGAAGAGUUAGCUUCGGCGAAGCCCUGAAUUGAAGCCCCAGUAAACGGCGGCCGUAACUAUAACGGUCCUAAGGUAGCGAAAUUCCUUGUCGGGUAAGUUCCGACCCGCACGAAAGGCGUAACGAUCUGGGCACUGUCUCAACGAGAGACUCGGUGAAAUUGAAUUGCCUGUGAAGAUGCAGGCUACCCGCGACAGGACGGAAAGACCCCAUGGAGCUUUACUGUAGCUUGAUAUUGAGUGCUUGUACUGCUUGUACAGGAUAGGUAGGAGCCAUAGAAGCCAGGACGCUAGUUUUGGCAGAGGCGUUGGUGGGAUACUACCCUUGCAUUAUGAUCACUCUAACCCGCACCACUGAUCGUGGUGGGAGACAGUGUCAGGUGGGCAGUUUGACUGGGGCGGUCGCCUCCCAAAAGAUAACGGAGGCGCCCAAAGGUUCGCUCAGAAUGGUUGGAAAUCAUUCGCAGAGUGUAAAGGCACAAGCGAGCUUGACUGCGAGACAGACAGGUCGAGCAGGGACGAAAGUCGGGCUUAGUGAUCCGGUGGUUCCGCAUGGAAGGGCCAUCGCUCAACGGAUAAAAGCUACCCUGGGGAUAACAGGCUUAUCUCCCCCAAGAGUCCACAUCGACGGGGAGGUUUGGCACCUCGAUGUCGGCUCAUCGCAUCCUGGGGCUGUAGUCGGUCCCAAGGGUUGGGCUGUUCGCCCAUUAAAGCGGUACGCGAGCUGGGUUCAGAACGUCGUGAGACAGUUCGGUCCCUAUCCGUCGCGGGCGUAGGAAAUUUGAGAGGACCUGUCCUUAGUACGAGAGGACCGGGAUGGACAUACCGCUGGUGUACCAGUUGUUCCGCCAGGAGCAUCGCUGGGUAGCUAUGUAUGGAUGAGAUAAACGCUGAAAGCAUCUAAGCGUGAAACUCGCCUCAAGAUGAGAUUUCCCAUUCCUUAUGGAAGUAAGACCCCUCAGAGAUGAUGAGGUAGAUAGGAUGGAAGUGGAAGUGCCGCGAGGCAUGGAGCGGACCAUUACUAAUCGGUCGAGGACUUAACCAA